UGCAAGGCACAGCAAAGUCACUCCAUCCAAGACCCGAGCAAUCCAUAGGUGUUCCAUAGGCAGAGAAGCAAAGCAAAGAAGCCUGUGUGAUCAAGCAAGCAUCCAGACCAAAGAAGAUUCAGUCCACAGGAGGAGAACGGCAAAGGACUGAGGGUGCAAAGGAGGAGAGAGAGAGAGCAUACAGGACACCCAGCAGAUAAACAGGCCAGCUGAAAAGAAGGACCAUAUUGAGAAAGGGGGAGAGACUGUGACAACAAGGAAAAAGGGAAGACCUGCACUAUGAGCAAGCCAAUCUACCAGAACAUUGUAGUCGAUCCUCCUGUCACUCAAAAUCUACUCCCCUACACUGAUAAGCAGCCCUACAUAGAACCUGUUCCAUCAGCACCCACAAUGGAUUAUGGGGCACCUCCCCUAAUGCCACCCGAGUACCAACCUUAUCGUGCCACACCUGGUGCAGGAGUUAAUCAAGGUCCAGUCUUUCAGGCGCCACAGAUCGUCGUCGUCAGAUUUGCCCAACCUGUAAAGGAAAAUGAUUAUAUGGGCUACUCCAUCUUUACCAUGCUUUGCUGCUGCCUACCCAUAGGGAUUGCUGCUCUGGUUUUCUCUGUGAAGACCCGAGAUGCCAACAACGCUGGAAACAACAUGGCAGCCCAGCAAUACUCCAAGGUGGCAUGCAUCUUAUCCCACACAGCACUCGGGUUGGGGAUCGGGGCCAUAAUUUUAAAUAUCAUAAUGCUGAUUGUAUAUCGUUCUGUUUGAAUCAUUCAUUAUAGGACCAGGGGCUGAUUCACAUGCGCAUUGUACAUCACAUCAUUUCUUCCUGCUUGACUUCAUGGCCAGAAUAUAUAAACCGCCAAGCUAUGCAUUUCAGGUGACAGCAGUUAUUCUGAGAAUUCUGCCCGCUGAUAGAUUUGAAGUGGCCCAUCCACGUCAAGUGGGCUUCAUGCGUUAUCCAGCUCUAUGAUACAAAAAUACCCCAAACUGAAACAAUAACAUUGGGAUGAGAAAAUGGUUUGGCACCAAGCGUCACAUAUGAACUGUGGGCUCUUUUGAUGGUGAGAUAACACCUCUAUGAAUGGCCCCAGUAUUACCAAAGACAAAAUAUCUGACACCUUAAAAUCUUGAGAUGGGUUUAGAUCACCUCCUUUUAAGUGCAUCUCUCCUAGGUUCCUUCCUCCAGCCUUCUCCUCGACCUCUUGUUCCUCUGGACCAUCUCAUUUCUCACCUACCCUGGUAUGAUCCCCAUUCCCCCAUGACCUGUAUUCUCCAACAUUUCACAGAUGAAAACAGGAGCACACUUAGAACACCCCCAAUUCCAUAUCAUCAAUGGAUGCUCAAGCUCUGCCACCUGCUGCAUUACACAUGCCUUUAUACUACAUCUGCUGUCUUGGUUUAGUCUGCAAUAGGCUGCCCUGAAUGUUUUCAAUGUGAAAAGAAUGCUUGUGCUUCCUGUGAGAAGAUAUGUCAGAAAAACAUAAUUGCUUUCCAAUAGAAGAUCAGUGGUUCAAAACAGAAGUGAGGCCCAAUUGGUUUGGUUUGCAUUUCAAAGCAACCUUACCGAAUUUCUCACUUUCAAACCAAUAAGCAAAGCAAAAUUCAGCUGUCCUUCAAAACAUUUACUUCUCUGAGUUUUCCAAUCUUAAAAUGCAUACACAGAUGUGUGUAUUAGGGAAAGCUACACACAAAAAUGCAAUGUAUUAGUGGAAAUAAUGUUUAAAAUGUGUUAUAUUUGGGAAACAACCUGAAAAAACUGUGUAUACUAGCCAAAAUGCAUUUAAAACUCGUGUGAGGAAUCGCUUAUUAGAAAUUGAUGGUGGGAAGGAAGUACUUGAUAACAGUGUCUUCUGAGUAUUGAGAUAGGGUUGGGUCCAUUGAAAUCAACUAGACUUAAGUACAUCAUGACUAACAAGUCCUGUUGAUUUCAAUAAGUCUGUUCAAAGUAUGACCCAUCCAAUCUGUACUGUAUGUUUUCACCCACAAGGGAAAGAACAGCUCCAGGAGGGCAAUUCAGAUCAGAAAAGGAUGCGAGGUUGGUGGAAACUAAAGCAAGCCCAGCACUGUGGAUCCAUUCUCAACUGGAAGGCCAAAAGGCUGCUAUUUCCGGUUUUGCUUUUUUAAAUUGUGCGAGACCUGAUCAAAUCCAACCUUUGGCAAGAUACAAAUCUUAUUUACAUGGAUCUGUUCCCAACUAAUAAAUGUUGAUUCUAUGAUUGCAA